GAUCCUGGCUCAGAUUGAACGCUGGCGGCAGGCUUAGCACAUGCAAGUCGAACGGUAACAUAAAGAAGCUUGCUUCUUUGAUGACGAGUGGCGGACGGGUGAGUAAUGCUUGGGAAUCUAGCUUAUGGAGGGGGAUAACUACGGGAAACUGUAGCUAAUACCGCGUAAUAUCGAAAGAUUAAAGUGUGGGACCUUCGGGCCACAUGCCAUAGGAUGAGCCCAAGUGGGAUUAGGUAGUUGGUGAGGG
rnacentral:rRNA from 1 species